CUGCUGAUCUGGCAUUCAAACAAAAGCAGAAGGAGGAGCAAAAGAAACUUGAGGAGAUGAAAGCAAAAGCUGCUGGAAAAGGGCCUCUGGCCAGUGGUGGAAUAAAGAAGUCUGGCAAAAAGUAGUUUGAUUAAACUGCAGGGUAAGAAGUGAUCGAGUUACUCAAUGGAUUUGCAGACUUCAGAGAGUCAUGAAAACUCACUGUCAUUUUGGGAACAUUGUACAUUUUGUUUAGUCUGAAUAAAUACUUUUUGUUAAGAUGUGA